rnacentral:rRNA from 1 species
GAAGUGCGAUAGGAGCCAAUGGUGAUAUCAGAUCCCACUAAUUGCUUUCCUGACCAGGAAAGGUGUCGUGUACGUUUUCAAUGUGUCAUGAUGCAAGUUUUCUUAUUAAAAUUGGCUAAGGUGUCUAUAAACACAAGCUUAGUACAACUAUACGGAUAUAUAGCAGUGCGGGAUUAUACGGAUUCAUUGCUUAAUUAUAUUGUCCACCAUAGUAGGGAUGAUCCCAUUACGGUGCAACAGGGUUCUGUCAUUGUGAUGACCGGCCCUAAGAGGGGCAUCAUCAUGACAUGUCUUGUUAUAGUUGAGUUUGAUAUGAGACUCAAUAUAGGAGAGCAAGAAGAAGAUGAUCUACAACUUAUUGAUGGUGCGAUAGACUACUGCGAAGUAACCACUGCUUUUCGCCCAUUCAUAGAUCGCAUUAAUGGCGAUUGUGGUGCAAUUGAUAUCACUUUAGCAUGAGUUAUCAAUGCAGUGGAGGCCACAAUAGACAUUACCAUAUCAAAAGUGUUGAGUGGAUUCAUUUUAUCUCUAAUUUCGAUUGUGUUUGUGGGUGAGUCGCAUCAAGGAAUUGAACUAUUUUGUGGUCUGAUUGGCGAGUCAUGUGGCUUAACAAGUAGAUAUGUGAUUGCGGUAGAGAUGGAUACAUUGAUGCAUUUGAGGUUAAAGGUAGGUUAGAAAGAUUAUCAAUAUGUUGAUCUAGAACAUUAUUGUAGCUUGACAACAAAAAUCCAUGGAUGUGACUAUCGACAAAUUAUGCUUGAGCAUGCAUCUAUCUCGCUAAAGCUAACUUGGUCAGCUAUGCCAUAA